GACAGAGGGUGCAAACGUUGUUCGGAAUUACUGGGCGUAAAGCGUGUGUAGGCGGCCUUAUAAGUCGGAUGUGAAAGCCCAGGGCUCAACCCUGGAAGUGCACUCGAUACUGUAAGGCUCGAGUACUGGAGAGGUUGGUGGAAUUCUCGGUGUAGAGGUAGAAAUUCGUAGAUAUCGAGAGGAACACCGGUGGCGAAGGCGGCCAACUGGACAGAUACUGACGCUGAGACACGAAAGGCGUGGGGAGCAAACAAGG
rnacentral:rRNA from 1 species